GGCCUGAUGGUCUAGUGGUAAGAUACCCGCUUUGGGCUGAGUUAAAUCUCAAAUUCAUAUGCGGGUGAUCCAGGGUUCAAUCCCCUGUCAGGCCC
rfam:Schizopora paradoxa strain KTC8140 unplaced genomic scaffold SCHPAscaffold_00047, whole genome shotgun sequence.